UACAGAGGUCCCGAGCGUUGUUCGGAUUCACUGGGCGUAAAGGGUGCGCAGGUGGGUUGGCAAGUUUGAUGUGAAAGCCCCGGGCUUAACCCGGGAAUGGCAUUGAAUACUGCUGAUCUGGAGGAUCGGAGGGGGGACUGGAAUUCUUGGUGUAGCAGUGAAAUGCGUAGAUAUCAAGAGGAACACCGGUGGCGAAGGCGGGUCUCUGGGCAGUAACUGACGCUGGAGGAAGCGAAAGCGUGGGGAGCGAACAGG
rnacentral:rRNA from 1 species